CCUUGACAUACUAAGAACUUUCCAGAGAUGGAUUGGUGCCUUCGGGAACUUAGAUACAGGUGCUGCAUAGCUGUCGUCAGCUCGUGUCGUGAGAUGUUGGGUUAAGUCCCGCAACGAGCGCAACCCUUUUCCUUAUUUGCCAGCGGGUCAUGCCGGGAACUUUAAGGAUACUGCCAGUGACAAACUGGAGGAAGGCGGGGACGACGUCAAGUCAUCAUGGCCCUUACGGCCAGGGCUACACACGUGCUACAAUGGUCGGUACAAAGGGUUGCUACCUCGCGAGAGGAUGCUAAUCUCAAAAAGCCGAUCGUAGUCCGGAUCGCAGUCUGCAACUCGACUGCGUGAAGUCGGAAUCGCUAGUAAUCGCGGAUCAGAAUGCCGCGGUGAAUACGUUCCCGGGCCUUGUACACACCGCCCGUCACACCAUGGGAGUUUGUUGCACCAGAAGUAGGUAGUCUAACCGCAAGGAGGACGCUUACCACGGUGUGGCCGAUGACUGGGGUGAAGUCGUAACAAGGUAGGCGUAGAUGA
rnacentral:rRNA from 1 species